rnacentral:rRNA from 1 species
GAUGAACGCUGGCGGCGUGCCUAAUACAUGCAAGUCGAGCGAACGGACGAGAAGCUUGCUUCUCUGAUGUUAGCGGCGGACGGGUGAGUAACACGUGGAUAACCUACCUAUAAGACUGGGAUAACUUCGGGAAACCGGAGCUAAUACCGGAGAAUAUUUUGAACCGCAUGGUUCAAAAGUGAAAGACGGUCUUGCUGUCACUUAUAGAUGGAUCCGCGCUGCAUUAGCUAGUUGGUAAGGUAACGGCUUACCAAGGCAACGAUGCAUAGCCGACCUGAGAGGGUGAUCGGCCACGCUGGAACUGAGCCACGGUCCAGACUCCUGCGGGAGGCAGCAGUAGGGAAUCUUCCGCAGUGGGCGAAAGCAUGACGGAGCAACGCCGCGUGAGUGAUGAAGGUCUUCGGAUCGUAAAGCUCUGUUAUUAGGGAAGAACAUAUGUGUAAGUAACUGUGCACAUCUUGACGGUACCUAAUCAGAAAGCCACGGCUAACUACGUG